CCCGACAGCUCAUUUCCAUGAGUGCCGCCACAAACAGCCACACCACCCAGAGCUGGCAGGAACACAGACGCCAUCUACAACAGACAAAAUGAUCAUCACCUGAAGCUGAGGAUGAACAGCAGCGGUGAGAUUUCGUGUCUCAGGAUCUCUGGGAUAAUCCACACUUUUGAUAAACUUGAAGACUUCCACAUCUCCACCUUCAAAUACUGUCCCUCCCGUGGGUUUGACAGUACAGUUGUUACAGGAAUCGGCCACACACCGUCUCCCCUCUCCUUCCUCUGUCGCUCCAUCUCCUGCACCAGGUACACACCCGACAGCUCAUUUCCAUGAGUGCCGCCACAAACAGCCACACCACCCAGAGCUGGCAGGAACACAGACGCCAUCUACAACAGACAGCCUUUUCUUCAGUCAUCAGCUCUGGUUCAUCUUUCACACAUAAUGAUGUGGUCACUGAAGCUCGCAAUUUCACUGACCGUGAAGCUUCAGCAUGGAGCUAAUGUUUUGCUGACUAAUGCAUGCGCUUAAAGGAGAGCAUGUGGUGAAGGACGAGACAGAGUGGGAGGAGAAACAUGUCAAAUGAGAGGACUGCAGUGCUUUGGUUACCAGCUAAACAUUACAGCUAGAUGGGAAGUGGUUUAAUAAACCAGCAUUUCCUGUCACAGUUCCCUCCUACUUAAAGGAGGUCUCGCAGCAGGAUUGUAGCUGACGGAGGAAGUGGAAAUAAAGAGGAAAACCGAGAACUGCAUUUUUUUCCUUUUAUAUAAUUCAAGUUAAUAGUUGCUGACACUUUUAGAGUCAAAAAACAAAUAGAGCCUUUGCAAAUUUUGAGCUUCCUGUUUCCACUACCAGUUUCAUCCACAAAUCUUCUGUAAUGUGCUUCUGAAGAAAGAAAAGUCAUGUACAUCUUGAAUGGCUUGAGAGAGACUAAAUUAACAGCAAAUUGUAAAUUUUGGGCGCCCAUAGAGAGCUGGAUAGGUGGACUCCUGCGACAGUGGAGGUUGCCAGAUCUGCAUAAAAGGGCAGCGUCUUCCUGGAGAGCUCAAACACCUGCGGAAGCGUCGGAGGAUUAAUGAAAUGGUCCAAGAUGAAAGGGUUAUUGUUGAUAUGGUCCCAGGUCUACAUUUCUGGAGAGCGUGUACGCCGUUGGACUUGGGACUCGGAGUUGACUGCAACAACUGAAUUCAAAUCUGUCGAAGAAUGAUUCCAGAAACCAGGUAAUACAAAAGCAAAUAAAU